AGAGCGAACGCUGGCGGCAGGCCUAACACAUGCAAGUCGAGCGCCCGUAGCAAUACGGGAGCGGCAGACGGGAUAGUAACACGUGGGAACGCGCCCUUCGGUUCGGAAUAACUCAGGGAAACUUGAGCUAAUACCGGAUACGCCCUUACGGGGAAAGAUUUAUUGCCGAAGGAACGGCCCGCGUCCGAUUAGCUAGUUGGUGAGGUAAUGGCUCACCAAGGCGACGAUCGGUAGCUGGUCUGAGAGGAUGACCAGCAUCACUGGGACUGAGACACGGCCCAGACUCCUACGGGAGGCAGCAGUGGGGAAUAUGGACAAUGGGCGCAAGCCUGAUCCAGCCAUGCCGCGUGGAUGAUGAAGGCCUUAGGGUUGUAAAGUCCUUUUAACGGGGAAGAUAAUGACGGUACCCGUAGAAUAAGCCCCGGACUAACUUCGUGCCAGCAGCCGC
rnacentral:rRNA from 1 species